GGGCCUAUAGCUCAGCUGGUUAGAGCACACGCCUGAUAAGCGUGAGGUCGGUGGUUCAAGUCCAUUUAGGCCCGCCA
rnacentral:tRNA from 1 species